AUGCUAAUUCAAUAAAUUUAAUAAUUAUAUUGAAAAAAAAAAAAAUAGAAACCCGUACACAACAUAUAUACAUAUGCAUACGCACAUUUAUUAUUGAUAUAGACAUAUAGCACAACGCAUACAACAUACAACAUACAACAUACAACAUAAGAUAUAUAGUACACAGGUUUUUGUUCGAACAAAAUGUAUAAGAAAGUUUUUUUAUUAGUGUGCUUUGCCCUUAUGAGCAUAAUGUGCGCAGAAUCUAAAAAUAUUGUUUCUGCAUUUCUGUCAUAUUUUGACACCAAAAUAAAUUCAAAAAAUGAGAUAUCAAAAAUAAUAAAAAUUGGUAAUACUAUGGCUUGUCUGUUGAAUGAUGACAAUGUGACUUAUAACGAAUGUGCUUGUAGUUUUAAAAAAUUGAACGAGUUUGAAAAGAGUUGUGUAUCCAAUUUUAAAAAAAGUCAAGAGGAAGCAAAAAAUUGCUCGAUAGAACGUUGUGAAAUUUGCUGUAAUUUAGUUAGUUCGAAAAACAUAACAAAUUCUAUAUUAGAUUAUGAAUUAGACUGUAAAAAAAAAUGCACAAAAAAUAAUACUAUUUUAAGUUGCAAUCAAAAUGAUUAUAAAUUAGCCUUUCAAAAACUAGUUGAGUUUAUUCGUAUAUUUUACCCACCAACUGUUUUAAAUUACCACCCUAUUGAAAAUAAAAAAGUUCCUAAAUAUACUAAUAAAGUAUUGGGUUCAAAGUACGAUCGAAUAAUCGAAGAUUUGAAAGAUGAAGCGACAAUGAUCAAUGAGAAAAAUGAUAGUGAAGACACAAGUUUAAGUGUAGAUGAUGAGUUUGAAAGUUUAUUUUUAUCAUAAGGUAAAAACUAUUUUUUUUUUUUUUACAACACUAUUUUGAUAAGCUACAUUUUGUUACUAACCAUAGUGUUACUGUUUUUAUUUGUUUUAAUAUUAAAAAAAAAAAAUAACAAUAGGAAAAAAAAAUUUUUUUGUUUUUACGUUUCUUGCUAAUUUUUUUUGUUUAUUUUUGUUUUCAUAUUGUGUGUUAUGUUACAUAUUUUGUCCUAAUGCGAUAUUGUCUAUGUGUUGUUGAUUAUUGUAUAUAUUAUUAUGCCUUCUAUGUUAUCGAAAUUUUUUUUGUUGUUUUUUUUUUUUGUUUUUUUUUUUUUUUAAUUGCAUACAAACAUGUAACUUUCGUAGUACAAUUUAUAUUUAUAUAUGUUAAAAACAUGGAAUAUGGUUAUUAAUAUAUUUUUAUUUUAUUUUUUAAGUUCGUCAUCAAUGAUUUGAUCAAAUGUGUUUUUAAUUAGAAAUAGAUCAAAAACAUGGAAUAAGUGAAACAAUAUAUAUAUAUAUAUGCGUGUAACUUUUCUAAAAAAUUACAACUGAUUAAUUAGUUCGGAAAAAAGCAGUAGUGAUAAACAACACUUUUUUAUGAAAGUAUAAAAAUGUCCGAUUAUUUAAUUUUAGACAAGAGAAAAAAAAAAAAAAAAAAAAAACAUAUAACCACAAUGCCAAUAUAAUAUAUAUACAUACAUAUGUGCGUAUACAAUUCAGUAGACACCUAUAUGCUAACAAAUUUUGAUAUAAAUAUUUACUUAAGUCACACAUAAUAUUGUAUUUAUACAACAAAACAUGAGUUAAGAGUUUUACAAAAAUGUUAAUGAAGAUAUUCAUAGGUAAAAUACCACUGUUAUACAUAUUAAAAAUAAGAAAACAAAUCAGUUACAUAUUAAAUUUUAUUAUGAAACACCCAGCACUAACAUAAUCGUGAAAAUGAUGAGAUAUUAUAGUUAUUUCAAAAAGUAAGCGCAGAU
ensembl:lncRNA